GCGGGGGUAGCUCAGUGGUAGAGCGUCCGUCUUCCAGGCGGAGUGUCGGCAGUUCGAUUCUGUCCCCCCGCU
rnacentral:tRNA from 1 species